GAGAAAGACAUAGUGGUUAUGAAAUUGGCUUGAAACCAGUUUUAGGGGGUUCGAAUCCUUCCUUUCUUA
rnacentral:tRNA from 1 species